UUGCAGGAGCACUUGCUAA
rnacentral:snRNA from 1 species